rnacentral:rRNA from 1 species
ACCGAUGGCGAGUGAAGCGGCAACAGCUCAAAUUUGAAAUCUGGUCCCCAGGGCCCGAGUUGUAAUUUGUAGAACAGGAUGCUUUUGGCGAGGCGCCUUCCGAGUUCCCUGGAACGGGACGCCACAGAGGGUGAGAGCCCCGUCUGGUCGGAUGCCAAGCCUAUGUAAAGCUCCUUCGACGAGUCGAGUAGUUUGGGAAUGCUGCUCAAAAUGGGAGGUAUAUGUCUUCUAAAGCUAAAUACCGGCCAGAGACCGAUAGCGCACAAGUAGAGUGAUCGAAAGAUGAAAAGCACUUUGAAAAGAGGGUUAAAAAGUACGUGAAAUUGUUGAAAGGGAAGCGCCUAUGACCAGACUUGGGCCCGGUGAAUCAUCCAGCGUUCUCGCUGGUGCACUUUGCCGGGCACAGGCCAGCAUCAGUUUGGCGCGGGGGACAAAGGCUUCGGGAAUGUGGCUCCCCUCGGGGAGUGUUAUAGCCCGUUGCGCAAUACCCUGCGCCGGACUGAGGUACGCGCUCCGCAAGGAUGCUGGCGUAAUGGUCAUACC